UUAAGACUGGAUCCAGAUGAAACUUUCCAUAUCGCCGUGAUCUCUUAUCUCAAUCAACGCUUUCAGUAUGCCCUCCUCUGGAUGGAAGAAACCUUCAGGAAACUCAAUAAGGGAGAGGAAGCCGUUGUUACUAAAGAGGAGGUUCUUUACCAGCUUGCUUCAUUUUCCCAUCAGAUUCAGCUGUCAUCUGGACAGGACCUCACUGAGGGAGAUCUGCUUCAGCCUGCACUUUACAAAAGCCUAAUAGAGAACAUUAAGACCUGGACUGCAAAAUACAUCCCUCACUUUGACUUACCUGUUCACUCCAUGGACGAAGCAUAUGAGGCUCUAUGCACGGGCAAGAAGGUUAUGAUGAUGCCGCAGAGAGAGAGAAAACUGGUGUGCAGGUACAGAACAGGAAGAAGAAACCCGCUGGUGCUAUUCAAAGAGGAAGUGGAGUGGGAUCAGCCUACAAUACUACGAUACCAUGACUUUCUUUCUGAAGGAGAGAUAGACACCAUCAAAACACUGGCCAGGCCAAAGGUGUGCAAAUUUAAUUUAAAAGGUACAUUAAAUGCCAUUUAUGUUUAAGUAGCGCUACAUCAUGCUAAUCAACUCUUUAUAUAAAAUAAUUAUAACAGGUUACAAUUACAUAUUUUAAACUGCUCUUUUAAAAUAUUAUUUCAGUGUAGACACGUUAACUCUUUCCUGGCAACUGUUUUUUUUUUUUUUUUUUUUUUUUUAAAAAACGCUGCUGGGGAAAAAGUUAAUAUUUGAGGAAGAAUUAUUCCCUGAAGCAUUCAGUGUGUGUGUUUGUAUAGAGAAUUAAAAAAAAAUUGUAAUUGAUAAUUUUCUGUAACAUUUUUUAAAUAUCAAAUAAUGUAUUAUUAGUAAUUAACAAUAUUCAUCUAAUGCAACACAAAACUCUGUUUAUAUUUAGCUUUCCAGAGCUAAAGUCAUAGAUCCAGUCUCUGGAAAAAAAGUUUCUGCUGCAUCCCGUGUGUCAAAAAGGUAUGAAAACAAAAUGAAAACUCAUUUACUCACGCUCCUGUCUUUCCAAAACUGUAUUAUUCUCCUUCCACUGUGGAACAUAAAAAAGAUAUUCAGAGAAAUAUCUCAAUGUUUUUUUAAUGAACGUCAUUGUUGUUUGGUUCCCAAUAUUCUUCAAAAUAUCUUCUUUUGUGUUCUGAAGAAAUGUUUACAGGUUUGGAACCACAUGUAAAUGCUAAUUUUUUGUUGUUGUUAUUUAUUUAUUUUAGAUGGA